GGAUAACCUACCCUUAGGACCGGGAUAACCCUGGGAAACUGGGGAUAAUACUGGAUAGGCAAUUUUUCCUGUAAUGGUUUUUUGUUUAAAUGUUUUUUCGCCUAAGGAUGGGUCUGCGGCCGAUUAGGUAGUUGGUUAGGUAAUGGCUUACCAAGCCGUUGAUCGGUACGGGUUGUGAGAGCAAGAGCCCGGAGAUGGAACCUGAGACAAGGUUCCAGGCCCUACGGGGUGCAGCAGGCGCGAAACCUCCGCAAUGUGAGAAAUCGCGACGGGGGGAUCCCAAGUGCCAUUCUUAACGGGAUGGCUUUUCAUUAGUGUAAAAAGCUUUUGGAAUAAGAGCUGGGCAAGACCGGUGCCAGCCGCCGCGGUAACACCGGCAGCUCUAGUGGUAGCAAUUUUUAUUGGGCCUAAAGCGUCCGUAGCCGGUUUAAUAAGUCUCUGGUGAAAUCCUGCAGCUUAACUGUGGGAAUUGCUGGAGAUACUAUUAGACUUGAGACCGGGAGAGGUUAGAGGUACUCCCAGGGUAGAGGUGAAAUUCUGUAAUCCUGGGAGGACCGCCUGUUGCGAACGCGUCUAACUGGAACGGUUCUGACGGUGAGGGACGAAAGUUAGGGGCGCGAACCGGAUUAGAUACCCGGGUAGUCCUAACUGUAAACGAUGCGGACUUGGUGUUGGGGUGGCUUUGAGCUGCUCCA
rnacentral:rRNA from 1 species